UCCUUCCUUAUUCCUUUCCCCUCAGGUGUACAUAAUGGUCUGAGUGGCUAGAAAAGGGGGGAAAGUAAAAUUGAAGUGGACUUGGAGUCCUCACUGACAAAUGUUAAUUUCAAGCCUAUGGAAAAAAAAU
rnacentral:snoRNA from 1 species